UACGGGGGGGGCAAGCGUUGUUCGGAAUUACUGGGCGUAAAGGGCUCGUAGGCGGCCAACUAAGUCCGACGUGAAAUCCCAAGGCUUAACCUUGGAACUGCGUCGGAUACUGGAUGGCUUGAAUUCGGGAGAGGGAUGCAGAAUUCCAGGUGUAGCGGUGAAAUGCGUAGAUAUCUGGAGGAAUACCGGUGGCGAAGGCGGCACUCUGGGCCGGUACUGACGCUGAGGAGCGAAAGCGUGGGGAGCGAACAGG
rnacentral:rRNA from 1 species